CUCCACUAGAUGGUGGACUUAAGGCUUCUAUUGCUCUGGGGACUUUGAACUCCCUUCUUCAGACCCACCACUGAGAGACAAGCCCCAGGUCCAGAGAUGCAGGCAAAUGGCUUCCUUUUAUGUCUCCUGAAAUACACUAUCUGCAAACUCUAUGGGGUUAGGUGUCCCCUCACACUCCCAUGAGGUUUGUGCCUUUACAGUCCACUCUUCCUCUGGGGCUGUCUUCCCUCCUGGGACUUAUACCUGCAGACAGGGGAUUCCACCCGUCCUGCCCCAGCCCCUGCCCCCCGGCAGGUCUUGGUUCCUGCAGCCCUGAGCCUUCCUAGCUCAGAGAGGGUUCCCCUCUGCAGGUCUCGAACCCAGCAGCUUCUCCCAGCUCCCAGCUAGCCUACCAGCUUCUGCUGGCCAUUCGCUUCCCCACUUCCCCCAGGCACCUGUGUCCUGAAGCUGCACAGCUUCACACCUGGUGGAGAAAUCAGCUCUUCAUGGGGAAACACAGGCUGUCCCUCAUGCUGGUAUCUGUUCCCUGAGCAAGUUUCAGCUCCUGUUCCAGUGGUCGGGGGAAGAGGAGGACUGCAUCUCUGCGCCUUCUCUCCAGACUAGAAACGGAUCCUCUUCUCUCACUCUUUUAAUGGUUUUUGGCUGUUUUAUGGGGCAAACAUAGCCAAUCAGAGCCCUCAGUUUGCAACAGGGACUCUGGUGACAGUGCAAAUGAUCCAAUAAAAAGCAUGCAUGGUGCACAGCAUACUUUUCUGCCUGGAAAAACCAUGGCACCCUGUGCAAACAUUUUGCCGCCCUUUUGCAAAGGUUGUUAAGCAUAGCACACCCACUUAGCUUGCAGCCCAGUGAGCCAUGCAGCUGUUACAUGUAUGUCUAUACACAUAUAUACACAUGUAUAUAUGAGGGUUAGAAAGAAUGUACACCACAUAUACUCUACUUUAAAAGAUAACCCUAGAACUAUAUUUUUUAACCAUUAAAAAGCUUUACUUUAUAAAGACAAAAAUCACACAGAAUGAGUGCAUCUGACAUGAUAAACUCUGGAGUUCUUUCUAGAUGUGCACCCGGGACAGCAGCACUUAGAGCCAGGGCAUGGCAGGCCUGGGCUGGCAGCGGGCAGUGGCAAAGGGACUGGCUCAGACACGAGAAUGCCUAAUGUGCAGCGCUGUGUGGCUAGGCAGCAAGCAAGGAUCUGGCCCCCUGCUGCCUAGAUUGUCUGGGUGCAAUUUACACACGUGUUUCAGUGCACUAAAUGACCCUGCCAUAAGAUAGUACUGUCAGCAACAGUACUAUCUUACACAGAUUUAAUUAGUUUUCUGUACCCUAACACCAGUGUAGGAGUUAUGCUUUACUGAGGUGCUAAUUAGUCUACUCGAGAGUAAAGUGCAUGUGUAGUUGCACCCUGUAUGUUUUCUAAUGGCUGAUAACAGAAGUAAAUCUUAAGUUUUGAAAGACGCUUCAUUCAUAUACAUAGCAGCACACCCAAAUUCUGACCAGUUUUCGUAAGACAAAAGUAUGUUCUGGGUAAAAUCUUACCUACCUCACAAACUGCUUUUUUGCUACUGUAAGAAAUACUUUCUUUGAGAUUUCCCAAUACUCAAAAUGAAAAACCUGAAGAGAAUUUUACUUAACUCUCAUAUUGGCAGGUACCUGAAGCUCAUAUUAGCACAGAUGUGUAUGUUUUCAUUUCACAAGGAACAUCAUGUAAUAAAAAGUGUGUGAAACUUUCCAAGGAGAGACAGAAAACUAGGUUUCCAAUUACCAGUGAAAUUCAAUUGGAUUUGGAUGCUCAGCUUACUUUACUGGAGUCUUCUGAAGAUCCCAAUCAUUGUUACGUUGCUCAAGGUAUCCUUAAUCCCUGUUCUCUUUCACUUUUUAAGGGUCUGCAGUUGUGUGUGCUGGAGUGGCAGAGGUGGGAGCCUGGGAAAAGAAUGGGAACUCAUUCAUUCUGGGGGAAUGCAAUGGAAUCUUAUGCCCUCAUAUAUGUGCCCUUUUCCAACUCUAACAGCAGCAAUGUUCAUGAGACUCCUUUGGUACUUGUAACAAGACAAGGUUCCCUUAACUGUAAGCCUUCUCUCUUCCUUCUACUAACAGAUAAUUAAUUUAGCAAAUGUCUUGCAGCUUUGUCCACAAGGCAAGAGUCUCACAACAUUUUGGGCUUCUCUUUGUCUUGUUCUUGAGUGCAGUCAGUAAAGCUCACAUUCUCUCUCCUUACUACUUUACUUCCAGGUGCCUCUUCAUGUUCCUCUACCACCUUGGGCCAGUUUGAAAUGCAAGUUCUGAGAACUGUUUUUUUAAUGCCCUCUCAUAGACUUUACUGUAAUGGACUCUAUGGGUGCCUACAUACAUGCUCCAACACAUUCUAAUUAGAACAUGUUGAAGCAGACUUGAUUAAUCAAUUAUUUGAGUCUGCUCUGCAUUCUAAUAAGAACACUUUAGCAUCACUGUAGUGUCACGUGUAUAAGCCUCUGUGAGUUUAAAAAUGGUCACUGGGGUUCUUUAACUACAUCUCAUCUAAUGAGCUAUAGCAAAAGCAUCCUAUGGCCAUUUUUAACACAGGGGCUUAAUACAUGUGACGCUGCAUCAUUUUGAUUAGAGUGGCUCUCUGGUAACCGGCCUAAUUAAAACAUCCCCACCCCCAAGCACGUGUAUAGGAAGCUGUGCCUGGAUCUUUCCCAGCUUGCUCGCUACUCUGAGAAAUGCUCCAUCUUGGUUUGUUCCUCAAACAUCUAGUGACACUUCUAAGAUUCUGAGCCACUAAAAUUCACUUGGUCCUGAAUCAAAAUCAAUCCUGUGCAGCCAUGCAUGGAUCUAUAGGAUGAGUCCACUUCUACCCGGGCCCUUUUCCUUGACUGGAAAGAUGGAGGAGAACACCAACUAAGCCCUUAUCUCCUUUACCCUUUCACCCAGAGUCCUGUAGUCACUUUUGAUCUGUUCAGGGUCACCUGCCAGAGUCAGAGAGAUGGCUGAGUCUCAGUAAUCCUUCUGUGACAUCUUGGAUCUGGGCUGUAGACAAGAAACAGACCUCCUGACAGACAGACAACAGGUCAGGCUGGCAGAUGAAUGCCUACAGAAUGGAGUCUCCCACCAUGACCACCCAUUGCUUCCCCCAUUGCUUCCUUUUGGUGGCAGCAGCCUUGAUCCUCCCAAUCUUGGGGGUGCCUGGCCUGGCCGCCUCCACCAAUGGAACAUGCUCCUCUGUUGCUAGGCCUCUAUCUGUUUUCCAGGCUUCAGGUGGAGAUGAAGACUUCUGCUUGCUGCCAGAGGUCACAAGCUACCAGCUUCUACCUGCUUGGGAGUCCAUGCCUUCUUUCUUCUCCAGUAUUGCCUCUGGAAGUCCUUCCUCUGCAGUCCUAGAGGUCUCCUCCAGUACUGAAUUGAUGAAGACCUCAUGGUGGGGGAUGCUUUGGAGCCUUGCCAUCUCCUCCUGUAGCUCUCUUGCCUGGUUCCUGAGUGACACACCAGGAGGUACCACUCAAAUCCCACCUGUCACUGGAAGGAAUCUGCAAGCUGCAGUUCAUUCUCCUGAUCACAGGCCUCUGUUUCCCCAACAACUCUAGAUAGCACUCUUCUUUCCUCUUGUGGUUAGUAAAGUAGAGAUUGUAACUUCUGAUUUAUUAAAUGACUUGACAACUUCUUAAUCUCAAAUGGCAUUCAUAGGGAUGCAAGAUAAGCCACAAAUAGUUGUCACAUAUUGGUAAAAGAUAAUCCCUUGAAAGAGUGUAAAAAGGCUCUUAGCAGCACUGUGCAGCUGGAUAGUAUUUUAUGCAUUAUUUCUUUCACCACCUACUGAAGGGCAGUUUGUUCAGCUGGUCAUGCCCCUAUUAUGAGGUCAGUUAUUACACAAUGACAGCUACCUUGUGAGAUGAUCAUCAGUGCCUUUUCAUAAUUUCACUAGCAUUUCAGAGAUUUUUUGUCAUAAUUUCUGAAGAGGCUUUUUACAGUCUCUAACUGAUCCAUAAACUAGUUUACAUGGAUAUUUAAACCAAGCACAGUCUAGUAUUGUAUUUGACCUGUCUUCAAACAAACAAAAGUGCACUCUUCAUAGCUCCCAAUUUUUUUUAACCUGUAAACAAAACAAACUUUUAAUGUGCUAAAAGCAAAACGCUAGUGAGAUGCUGUGUGAGCCUCUUCAUAUACAUUGGUCAAUGAAUUUUCCUUUAA